rnacentral:rRNA from 1 species
GGGGUGAAGUCGUAACAAGGUAGCCGUACCGGAAGGUGCGGCYGGAUYACCUCCUAA